AUUGAACGCUGGCGGCAUGCCUAACACCUGCAAGUCGAGCGGCGCGGCGGACGGGUGAGUAAUGCCUGGGAAUCUGCCUGGUAGUGGGGGACAACGUCCGGAGACGGGCGCUAAUACCGCAUACUAUCAGAUCAGCCUAGGUCGGAUUAGCUAGUUGGUGGGGUAAAGGCCUACCAAGGCGACGAUCCGUAACUGGUCUGAGAGGAUGAUCAGUCACACUGGAACGGAGACACGGUCCAGACUCCGCCGGGAGGCAGCAGUGGGGAAUAUUGGACAAUGGACGAAAGCCUGAUCCAGCCAUGCCGCGUGUGUGAAGAAGGUCUUCGGAUUGUAAAGCACUUUAAGUUGGGAGGCGUUACCAACAGAAUAAGCACCGGCUAACUUCGUGCCAGCAGCCGCGGUAAUAC
rnacentral:rRNA from 1 species